UAAUACGUAGGGGGCAAGCGUUGUCCGGAUUUAUUGGGCGUAAAGAGCGUGUAGGCGGUUUGGUAGGUCUGCUGUGAAAACUCGAGGCUCAACCUCGAGACGCCGGCGGAAACCCCCAAGCUAGAGUCCGGAAGAGGAGAGUGGAAUUCCUGGUGUAGCGGUGAAAUGCGCAGAUAUCAGGAAGAACACCCGUGGCGAAGGCGGCUCUCUGGGACGGUACUGACGCUGAGACGCGAAAGCGUGGGGAGCGAACAGGAUUAGAUACCCUGGUAGUCCACGCCGUAAACGAUGAGUGCUAGGUGUGGGGGGUGUCGACUCCCCCCGUGCCGAAGCUAACGCAUUAAGCACUCCGCCUGGGGAGUACGGCCGCAAGGCUA
rnacentral:rRNA from 1 species